rnacentral:tRNA from 1 species
UUAAUUGAAACCAAAAUAGAGGUAUAUUACUGUUAAUGAUACCAAUGAGAAAUCUCCAAUUAAA